rnacentral:rRNA from 1 species
CAGCCGCCGCGGUAAUACGGGGGGUGCAAGCGUUGUUCGGAAUUAUUGGGCGUAAAGAGCGUGUAGGCGGUUUGUUAAGUCUGAUGUGAAAGCCCUGGGCUCAACCCAGGAAGUGCAUUGGAAACUGGCAGACUUGAAUACGGGAGAGGGCAGUGGAAUUCCUAGUGUAGGAGUGAAAUCCGUAGAUAUUAGGAGGAACACCGGUGGCGAAGGCGGCUGCCUGGACCGAUAUUGACGCUGAGACGCGAAAGCGUGGGUAGCAAACAGGAUUAGAUACCCUGGUAGUCCACGCCGUAAACGAUGAGAACUAGGUGUUGCGGGUAUUGACCCCUGCAGUGCCGCAGCUAACGCAUUAAGUUCUCCGCCUGGGAAGUACGGUCGCAAGACUAAAACUCAAAGGAAUUGACG